GGGCACCCAAGUGAAUGAGAAGUCAGAAUAGCACUUGUGUACGUAUCCGCCACCUCCACCAGUAGUGCAGCAAGCAGGACGCCAACAGCCUCCGCGCGCAAACGCACAGAGCGAAGUCGACGACACAGGGACUCGAGGUAUUUAGCGACCUUGAUUGCGAGAAGAGGAAAGGAGAAGCGGCAGAUUCGGCCUCUGCCCGUCUCUCUACCGCUUAUUUUCCCGUCGCCAGUCUGACGUGUGCCGGCGCGUGUGCUUGUGUCCGUAGGGAGCUGCAUACUCUCUCGCACACAGUAGACGUGCAGCAGUCUUCACUCUGACGGAGAGGGAAGGAAUCGCGUACGUCUCCAGCGCGUCCUCGCGUGUCUGCGCGAGCGGUGAAGACAUCAGCGUGGCUCUUCUUUUUCGUUUGUUCCGCUUCUCUACGCAUCACCACUAGGCGGUGGCGCGCCGUGCUCACUCUCUCUAAGUUUACACAGCGUGCCGCCUCCACCCCGCCUCCAUCACCCGGGGUGGACAUAUUGAUUCACCCCUUCGCUUGAAGCGCCUAGACAAACGUGCCCUGGGACGUUUGCCACUCGACUGCUGGGUAUCUGUCUGCCCGCACUAAGCUUCCCAAUCUCGCCUUCCUCACCCCUGCGGCGUGCGGCGCUGUCGUCCUUGCUCCGGCCCGACUCGCAGGUGUUUCACGUCGGCCAUGUACUCGCAGAAAAAGCGGGGCACGGCGCAGCUCAAGGCGUCGGCGUCCUCGGUGGCGCCGGCUGCGUCGGCUAUGCCCCUCGCCAAGCGAGCAAAGCUAGAGGCGACGCAGCGCAACCCGAUCCACAUCUCAAAGGAUGUGGCAGAUGCCUGUGGCACGGCGAACCCGCUCUCGACGCGCCUCUACAGCGACGGCAUCAGCAGCGGCGCUCAGGUUGGAGUCCCGAAUCGUCUAACGCAGUGCCAGUCACCUGCUGCCAGCUUCGUGCCCCACCCGCCCGCUGAGCUGGCGGUAACCACGGCUGCCAAGACGGACCCCGCCGCCUCCGCCCGCCCCCGCGGCGAGACGCAUAUGGUGAACUCACUGCAUGUGUUCAACCCGCCGAGUCACACAGACGCGGAGCUCAAGGAGAUGUUCGCCGCCUCCGCCAAGUCCAAGUCUAUCUCGUCACGACUCCAUCGCGGCACAGCGGCGGCGGCACCACCGGCAAAGCUAGCUCCGCUGACGUCGGAGCGGGUGAGUGCCGGUGGCGGCAACACUGGCGCCGCGGCGACCGCCUUAUCCGACCUCGAGCAAGACAAGAGCACUGCGGAGGCUGCGGCAAUGCGAGCGCUGGCCACCAUUCCACGCUUUCACAAGUCCACCUCGAACUCGCCGAACGAGUUCGUCUACUUGAUGAUGCGGCCCCGCGGCAUUCGCGACCCGCUGAACCCGUACGACCUGCAGCCGAUGGCCCGCACCGAAGCACAGGGUCGCAACUACUACACCGUCUCUGCCGCCGGCGUGACGCACUUCACCGAGGGUGGCGCUGAGUUCAUUGAGCUGCCCAAGUGGGAGCGCGAGUGUCGUAUCUUCCAUGCUAUCCGCGAACUGCUCGUCUUUAGCGAGUACAAGCGCUGGCGCAACUUUGUGCUGUGGCGAAGCCUCGUACGUCGCAGUGCGACGGCAAACACUCGGCAGUUCCUCGCCGCGCACCUGUUUGCCGCCCACCCGAGCCUGUCGGGAGCUCUGCAGGCGGUGCGCAAUAUCUGUCUGGAAACUGCUGCCUUCGAGGACCUUUAUCAGCCCAGCACGGAGACAAGCACGCUCGACGUGUACACGACGACGCUGCAGACGCACUUGCAAGAGGAGCGACGCCGGUUGGAGAACAUGAUUAAACGCAUUCGCGAUCACGUCGAGCAGGCGUGCAAGACUACCAUGUUCACCUGGCAGCUCGAGCGUGAGCGGCAGAAGCUGCUCUACGAGGACGCCGAUCAGCAGAAACGGAAGGUGCUCGACGUGCGGGAGCUGGGCAUGCAGGAGCAGCCGUCGUACAUUGAGCUGACGCAGCGCAAGACGAUAUGCCGGCGCCUCACCGCCUUCAUCAAGCUAUGCGACUAUCUCAUUGUGGAGUGCCUCACCGGGCUGGCUGCCAAGGCUGUGUCGCACGUGCGACGCGACCUGGAGAUGUCCAACACUGUUCCGGCGAGCGCGCCGGCUGCGGCGACUGAGAAGACUCGCCGCGGUGGCGGCGCAGCCGCGGCUGCCACGACUAGCGCCUUCACCGGCCCGCUCUGGAACGUCGACGUGGUGUACAAUGUCGACCAGCAGGCUAUCGAGCUUGUGCCGUCGGCGGUGCAGAUUCGCGAGGCCAUCGAAGACGCGGUUCAGGACUACGUGCGCGCUGUCGGUGUGAUUCCGCGGCUAACAUCGCUCAACACGUUCCUGAUCUACACCAGCAAUGCGCGGGACGAGCUGGGGAACGACACGGUCGGCGCGGGACCGGAUGUGGCGGAUAUGGUAAUGGCCGAAGAAAGCUACAAGCAGGACGUGGCCGCCAUUCACACCUCCCUCGCCAGCUCCUUCGCCAAGAUGCACCGCUACGCGCACACCUUCGAGGUGUUCAAGGAGAUGUACAUUAGCAACAGCCAGCUGCGGGAGGAGACGCUGCUGGAGAGCAACGAGACGCUUCACUACUUCCGCGAGCAGCUCGCCACCUACAAGGCGCAGACGGACUCCAUCUCGUCGAAUAUUCCGAACUUCGCGGACAUUGGGAUGAUGCGGAUGUGGACAGAGGGGCUGCGCGACUUCUUCACGCCGAGCCCAGUGACGUGCUUGGACAUCUUCCACAAGGCCCUUCCCGUCAUCGCGCGCCGGCGCAACGAAACCCUGCUCAAGGAGCUGCAGGAGCACACGACCUAUCUCGCCGCGGCGCCCAAGACGAUUGAACACUAUGUAGAGUACCUUGACUACUGCAACGCGCUGGAGAACUCCUUCGACGGCAUUGCCUCCUCCUACGACGUGGUGCGCGAGCUGUUCAACCUCUUGCAGGAAGAGAAGAUCGACGUGAGCGAGGAAGACGACGAGACGUACCGCAGCGGCACCCGGCCGCAGUUCGACAAGCUGCGCACGCUGCUGCAGAUCACUGAGGACAGCAAGGAGGUACAGCAGCGCUUCUUCAGCCGCAGCAUUGAAGAGGAGAUGGACCAGCUGCGCCGCCGCAUCGAGUCCGUGUACGACCGCGCGGGACAGCCGAUCGUCAUGUCGGGCGAGGCGGACGUGGCAGAGGCAAACGCGUACAUGAAGGCCCUUCUCGAAGAGGCAGAGGGCAUCGCCGCGCGCGAGAAGAAGCUGCGCGAGUUCCAGAUCGAGAUCGGGGCCGAGGAAACCGUGGUGGAGGUCAUGGCCGAGAUGCUGCACGACGUCAGCAUCAAAGCGAAGCUGUGGGCCGGCAUCGGAGACUGGAACACCUUCACGGAAGAGACCCACGCGCUGCCCUUUGACCAGCUCGACGUGCCGGCGGUGCAGGAGGUGGUGCAGAAGUACUCGUCGCUUGUAAAGCAGGUGUCCUCGAAGCUGGCAAGCAACGCGGUGGUGCCGCGGCUGAAGAGCAGCGUGGAAGAGUGGCGUCAACUGCUGCCAAUCUUGCAGGCACUCACGAACCCCUCUCUCAAGUCGGAGCAUCACGCAAAGAUCUCCCUGAUCGUCGGGCCCGUCGCAGAUGCCAGCGGCAGCACCUCGAAGACUCUCAGCGAGUGGGCAAACCAGUUCACCAUAGGAAUGCUGCUGCAGCACCAAAUCCUCAAGUACCGCGACGAGGUGCUCGUCGUGAGCGCGUCGGCCACCGAGGAGGACAAGCUGCAGAGGCAAAUCGACCGGGUGAACGCGAUGUGGAACGGCGGUGGGCCGAAACCGCCCGCAGAAUUCCAGUUCCACGCGCACAAGGAUAGCAAGGACGUCUUCACACUCGUCGGCGCCUCCGUCGAGGACGUGACGACGCUGCUGGAUGACUCCACCGUCGCCAUCUCGACCAUCGGCAGCAGCAAGCACUGCCAAGGUGUACUGCGCUCGCAGGUGGACCGGUGGGAAAACCGGCUCAAGUACAUGUCGGAGACGCUGGAGAGAUGGGUGGAACUGCAGCGCAACUGGAUCUACCUCGAGAACAUUUUCUCCUCCGUUGAAAUACGCAGCCAGUGGAAGGACGACGCUCAGCGCUUCGAGAAGGUCGACCGCUUUUACCGCGACCUGAUGCGCAAGGCCCACGACCUGCCCACCGCCUAUCGCAGCCUCCUCAUCAACCCACCAUCCUUCGACACCGCCGCCACCAGUGGUGGUCGCACGCUGAAGCACGACCUCGAAACGUACAUCAAGGAGCUGGAGAAGGUGCUGAUCAGCAUGGAGAAGAAGUUGGAGGAGAAGCGGCGCGCCUUCCCACGCUUCUACUUCCUCAGCAACGACGACCUGCUCGACUUGCUCGCCAAGGCCAAGACACCAGAGCUGAUGAUGCCGCACAUGCUGAAGAUGUUCGACGGCGUCAAGUCCCUCACGCUGUCGGCGCAAAACGACAUCACGCACAUGAACUCCAUGGAGGGGGAGCAAGUGGAACUGGACCAUCAGGGCAUCAAGGCGCGUGGCCCGGUGGAAGCCUGGAUGGACUUGCUGGAGCGCGAGAUGUUCUCGACGCUACGGGGCCGCGCCCAGCGCUGUCUCGAAGACUACGAGGCUCGCCAGGACCGCACCGAUUGGAUGUUUCAACACCCAGUGCAGCUCGUGCUGAUCGUCGAACAACUUCUGUGGACGCGUAGCGUCGAGGAGGCGCUGGACAAGAUCGACUCCCCGCAGCUCAUGCUCCGCAUGCGUGACGAGCAGCGCCGCAACCUCGAGGUGCUGGCGGAGCUGACGGCACGCAACCUCUCCAAGGUACAGCGCAUUCUUCUCUCGACAAUCAUCACGAUCGACGUGCACGGCCGCGACCUUGUCGAGGAGAUGUGCGACAGCGGCGUCGCCGAGUCGCUAGAGUUCGGCUGGACAAAGCAGCUGCGCGUGUACUGGGAGAAGGACGCGGACGGCAAUGGCACGGUGUUCAUCCGGCAGAACAAUUCCCGGUUCGUUUACGGCUACGAGUACCUCGGUGCACAGGGGCGACUCGUCAUCACCCCGCUGACUGACCGCAUCUACAUGACCGUGACAGGUGCCUUGAAGUUGCAUCUCGGUGCCUCCCCUGCCGGGCCGGCCGGGACUGGCAAGACGGAGACGGUGAAGGACCUGGCCAAGAAUCUGGCGCGGCAGUGCAUCGUGUACAACUGCUCUGACGGUGUCACGUACAAGAUGAUGGAGAAGUUUUUCUCAGGUCUCAUCCAGACCGGCGCGUGGGCCUGCCUUGACGAGUUCAACCGCAUCAACAUCGAGGUGCUCUCCGUCAUCGCAUCCCAGCUGCUGGAGAUCAAGCUGGCGCUGCAGAACGCACAGGAGACGUUCACGUUCCAGGGCACGCCCGAUGUACGGGUGAGGCCGACGUACGGCGCCUUCGUCACCAUGAACCCCGGCUACGCUGGGCGCACGGAGCUGCCGGACAACUUGAAGAUCCUGUUCCGCCCCGUGGCGGUCAUGACGCCGGACUUCCGCAUGAUUGCCGAGGUGAUCCUCUACUCGGAAGGCUUCAAGAACGCCCACGACCUGUCGCUGAAGAUCACGCAGCUCUACAAGCUCAGCUCAGAGCAGUUGUCGCCGCAGGACCACUACGACUUCGGUAUGCGUGCGCUGAAGUCGAUCCUCGUCAUGGCCGGCGACCUUAAGCGCUCUCAGCCGGACGUGGAGGAGGACCUCACCCUGAUCGUGGCGUGUAACGACUCGAACGUGCCGAAGUUCGUCGCGGAGGAUAUUCCGCUGUUCCGCGGCAUCAUGCAGGACCUGUUCCCCGGCGUGAGUUUCCCGGAGCGCGAGUAUCAGGAGCUGCUACCAGCGAUGCAGCACAUCAUGGCCGAAAAGAAGUUAGUCGACGCCGGGCAGUGGGUGAAGAAGGGCAUCCAGUUCUACGAGACGCUCAUUGUGCGGCACGGCGUGAUGCUGGUCGGCGUGACGGGCACAGGUAAGACGGAGGCGCGGCAGUGCAUUGCGGGGGCUCUGACAAAUCUCGCCAUGGCAGAGAGCGCGAACAAGAUGGCGCGCCCUGUCAUCGAGUUCGUGCUGAACCCCAAGUCGGUGCUCUUGCACGAGCUGUACGGACGGCUGGACGUGAACACGAACGAAUGGAAGGAUGGUGUGCUCGCUGCCAUUGCAAAGGAGUGCGUGCGGGCCUCAGAGAUCUCGUCGGAUCACCGGUGGAUGGUCUUCGACGGCCCUGUGGAUACGCUCUGGAUCGAGUCGCUGAACUCGGUACUGGACGACAGCAAACUGCUCUGCCUUGACAGCGGUGAGCGUAUCAAGCUACCCGACACGAUCCACAUGCUGUUCGAGGUUGCGGAUUUGGCGGUGGCCUCCCCGGCGACGGUGUCGAGGUGCGGCAUGGUGUAUGUGGACGCUGAGGACUUGCCGUGGAACGCCGUGGCAUGCCAGUGGAGUGAGACGAAGCUCGCUGCUGCCGGCGCGCAGCCGCAGUGCCGCGCCUACAUCCUCUCCCUCUUCGACGCUUACGUAGAGAAGGGGCUUACCUGGCUGAAGCAGCUGCCCGCGUCGGCAAGCCUGAUCAGUGCCGGCGACAUCAACGUCGUGCAGUCCCUGUGCGACCUGUUCACGGCGCUCAUGCAGGUGAAUAAGGUGCAGCUGAUGGCAGACCCCGUCAGCGAGGCGCCGCCGCCGUCGGACGACCCGAUGUUUCGCGAGCGCAACGAAAUCUGCAACGCCAUCUUUGCCUUUUCAUUUGUGUGGUCUGUCGGCGGCAACGUUGACCACGCUGCGAUGGAGAGCUUCGACACAAUGGCGCGCACGCUUCUCGAGUCGGUGGCACGCUUCCCCAACUACGGCAGUGUGUACGACUACACCAUCAACUUUUCAACGCGGCUGCUCGUGCCUUGGGAGUCGCUGGUGCCUGAGUUCACCUACAACCCUGCCACGCCAUACUUCAACAUCCUUGUGCCGACUGUGGACACGGUACGCUACAGCACCAUCGCACAGACGCUGCUUCAGUGCAAGAAGCCCAUCCUCUUCAAUGGUCAAACCGGCGUCGGUAAGACAUUCAUCAUGGCGGACUGCCUCCAGCGCAACAAGGAGCCGCUGCAGCUGUCGCUUGUCACCUUCCAGUUCAGCGCGCAAACGUCAUCGGAGAGGACGCAGGAGCUGAUGGAGGCGAAGCUGAAGCCGAAGCGCAAGAACUUGCUCGGCGCCGCUCCGGGCAAGUCUGUCGUACUCUUCAUUGACGACUUGAACAUGCCAGCCGUGGAAGUGUUCGGUGCGUCUCCGCCGAUCGAGCUAUUGCGGCAGCUGAUGGGCCAGGGCGGUUUCUACGACCGCAAGUUGGCUGGAAUGUGGAAGACGGUGCAGGACGUCACGGUCGUGUCCGCCUGUGGCCCGCCAGAGGGCGGGCGCAACCCCAUCACCCCACGCCUUACCCGCUUGUUCCACCUGCUCCAAGUGGCGACCCUCACGGACGACUCAAUGAAGCGCAUCUUCGGCUCCAUUCUGAGAGGCUUUGUCGAGGCGAAGAACUUUGCGCGCGAGGUAAAGGACAUGGUGCCGACGCUCGUGAUGGCCACUGUGGACGUCUUCAACACGAUCCGCGACGCCCUGAGGCCGCGGCCGACCACACCGCACUACACGUUCAACCUGCGCGACCUCUCGAAGGUGUUCCAGGGCAUGACACAGGUGAUUCCGCGCGUCUGCCGUGACACCGCGACGUUUGUGCGGCUGUGGAUGCACGAAGUGAUGCGGUGCUUCUACGACCGACUCGCCACGGUAGAGGAUCGGCGCUACUUCGUGGAGGGCGUCCUCGCGGAGGCGGCGUCCCGCGUGUUUCCCGGCGCGGCGGAAAGCCUGAUCGCAUCGCCGGUGCUGUGGGCGGACUUCACUCGCUUCGGGUCAGUCGAGAAAGUAUACGAGGAGGUACCGGAGGCGCAGCGGCUGGCGCAGGUUCUCGAGGAGUACCAAGACGACUACAACGCCACAGAGGCGACCGCCAAACCGGACGACGCGGCCGGCGGUACCGCCACCGUGCAGGCGUCGCAGCUGGGCCUCGUCUUCUUCAAGGAUCACUGUGAGCACAUUGCCCGCAUUAUCCGCAUUCUACGGCAGCCGCGCGGCAACGUGCUGCUGGUCGGCGUCGGCGGCUCGGGCAAGCGCUCCCUCACCAGGCUCGCCUCCUUCAUCGGCGGCUGCCGCAUCUUCGAGACGUCCGUCGGCAAGGGCUACAGCAUGAACGACUUCCACGAGUUCCUGCUGGAGGUUUACACGUACGCCGGGGUAAAGAACGAGCCGUGCGUGAUGCUGCUCUCCGACAACCAAAUCGUUGACGAGGCGAUGCUGGAGGACGUGAACAACAUCCUCAACUCCGGCGAGGUGCCGUCGCUCUUCAACGCCGAGGAGCGCGAGAAGCGCGUCAAUGCGUGCAUUGAGGCAGCCCAGCAGCACGGCAUCACCAGCAGAGAGGACAUCUACAACUUCUUCAUCAGCCGUGUGCGUGACAACAUGCAUGUGGCGCUCUGCAUGAGCCCGGUGGGCGACAAGUUCCGUACCCGCUGCCGCCAGUUCCCGUCGCUCACCAACUGCUGCUCCGUCGACUGGUUCGACGAGUGGCCGCGAGAGGCGCUAGAGGGGGUGGCGAAGCGCAUGCUGCAGGAUAUGGCAGGCGCGGUGCCGGCAAGCUUCCACGAGAAGCUACCGCAGCUCUGCGUCGAUGUACACGCGGCGACAACCGAGAUGGCGCAGCAGUACUACGAUGAGCUGCGCCGGCGCUACUACAUUACCCCGACCUCCUACCUGGAGUUCAUCGAGACGUACAAGGCGCUCCUGCAGAGCCGGCGCAGCCGGGUGGAGGCGCAGCUCGCCCAGGUCGAGAACGGAACAGAGAAGAUGCGCGAAACCGAGGAGACGAUCACGAAGAUGAAGGUCGAAAUCGAGGAGAAGCGGCCGCAGCUGGAGAAGGCGUCCGAGGAGACACAGGCAGUUGUGGCGGACUUAAAGGUGCGGCAGGCGAAGGCGGCGGAGGUGCAAGUGCAGGUGCGGGCGCAGCAGGAGAGCGCGACGGUGCAGCAGCACGACGCGUCUCAGAUCGCGGCAGAGGCCAACGCACGCCUGGCUGAGGCGAAGCCGAUCAUCGACAAGGCGAAGGCGGCGCUCGACACGAUCCAGGCCAGCGACCUCAACGAGCUCCGCUCCUUCGCCAACCCACCUUCGGCGGUGCUGAAGACGACGCAGGCGUGCAUGACCAUGUUUGAUGUGAAGGACUUCAACGGCGCGUGGUCUGGCAACACCGACUGGAAGGGCGCGCGCGAGUUUCUGUCGCACCGCUCUCUGCUGGACAUGAUCCGCGGGUACCCCACCGACAACGUGAAGCCGGCGAUUCUGCAGAAGGUGCAGAAGUACAUCAACGACCCCGAGUUCACGGUCGAGGUGUGUUCGUCGAAGGGCUCGCAGACGUGCGGAUCGCUGUGUGCGUGGGUGCACGCCGUCAACGAGUACUCGAAGGUGGUGAAGGAGGUGGCGCCGAUGCGGCAGGCCGCGGCCGAGGCGGAGCAGCACUUGGCAGCGACAAAUGCGAAGCUGCACGCCUCACAGCAGCAGCUGAAGGAGGUGGAGAAGGAGCUGUCCGAUCUCGAACAGCGUUACCAAAGCAGCGUUGCAAAAAAGAAUGACCUGGAAAAAGGGCUGCAGCUGUGUAUUAUCCGCCUCCGCAAUGCCGAGACGCUGUCCGGCUCUCUCAGGAGCGAAGGGGCCCGCUGGACGGAGAAUAUCAAGUUGCUGAGGGCUCAGCUGGCCGCGCUCCCGCUGCAGGUAUUUAUGGCGAGCGCCUCGGUCGCCUACUUCGGCGCUUUCACCCCGGCGUUCCGUCAGCGGCUCAUUGCGCAGUGGACGGUGCAACUGGCGGAGCGUGGAUGUGAAGUGGGCAACUUCUCCUUGACCACCGCCCUCGGCGACCCGGUCGACACGCUGAACUGGCAGGUGAACGGGUUGCCAAGCGACGAGACGUCCACUGAGAACGCUAUUGUAGCGAUGCUGUCGACGGCUCCGCGCCGCUGGCCGCUCUUCAUCGACCCACAGGAGCAGGCUGUCAAGUGGCUGCUGCGGCAGUUCCAGCAGACCCAGGCAGCGAGCGGGUCAGGCGCGGUGGCGUCGAAGAACCGCAACAUGCUGCGUGUGGUCAAGCUGACGGACCCGACGUGGAUGCGCACCCUCGAGUUGCAGAUCCGACUUGGUGGUGUCGUCAUCAUUGACGACGUUGGUGAGUCUCUGGACCCGGCGCUGGAGCCGCUGAUCGCGCGACGCGUCUUCACGGCUGACAGUGGCGGCCUGCAGAUCCAGCUCACCCCGCAAUCUGGGCCGAUCGACUACCACCCCAAUUUCCGCAUGUUCCUCUGUAGCAAGCUGCCGAAUCCGGUGUAUUUGCCGGACAUCAGCACCCGCGUCACGCUGCUCAACUUCACUGUCACGAUGGAAGGACUGUCGGAGCAGAUGCUCGGCGAGGUCGUGUCCAUCGAGCAGCGCUCCAUGGAGGAGGAAAAGAACUCCAUCAUCCAGCGCAUCGCCCAGGGCCAGCGCCGCCUCAAAGCGAUCGAGGAGAGCAUCCUGGAGCGCCUGCAGAGCACCAAAGGCAACAUCCUCGACGACGAAGAUCUUAUCCGCGAGCUGCAGUCCGCGCAGUCCAGCGCGGAGGUGAUCAGCCGCAGCCAAGCUGAGGCGAGCGAGAAGAUGUUGAUCAUCUCGACAGCCCGCGAGCGCUACCGCAGCGUUGCCGUGCGGGCGGCGUUGCUGUUCUUUGUGCUAGCCGACGUAGGCCGCAUGGAUCCGAUGUACCAGUACUCGCUUCAGUAUUUUGUGAAGCUGGUGCAGCACGAGGUGGAGGGCACCACAAAGCCUCCCGGGUACACGGAGGCGGACCCAGCCAUGCUGGAAGACCACCUUCGUGCUGCGAUCAGCAACCUCACGAGGGCCACGUACACGCAGAUCUGCCGCGGUCUCUUCAACAAGGACAAGACCAUCCUGUCGCUGCUCAUAGCGACGGCGAUCGCCCGGCACGACGGCGUGAUCGCAGACGAGGAGUGGCAGUACUUUGUGCGUGCCACUGCCUUUGUUGCCUCGGAGCUGCCGGAGCAGUCGCCAGCCCUCGCUUCAUGGAUGAGCCGUGUACAGUGGGAGCUGGCCGAGGCGCUCAGCCGCACCGUGUCCACCUUUCACGAUCUUGUCGCCAGCAUGGAGUCGGAGCCGGAGGCGUGGCGGGAGUACGCACAGUCCGACGUGCCCCACUCCGCCAUACUACCCGGCGACUGGCAGUCGCGUCUACACCUCUUUCAGCGUGUGCUACUGAUCCGGUGCUUCCGUGAGGAGAAGCUUUCUUUCGCGCUUUCCGACUACGUGCACCAGACGAUGGGGGCAGAGUUCAUCGAGAUGCCGCCCAUGGACCUCACCCGAACCCUCAAGGACAGCACCGCGCACACACCGAUUGUCUUCAUCCUUUCUCAGGGCGCGGACCCGAUGGAGGCGCUGCGGUCCCUCGCCAAGGCCGAGGAGCGGGAACUGCAGUGCGUAAGCCUGGGCCAAGGCCAGAGCGAGAAUGCGAAGCGACUCAUCGCCACGUGCCGCAAGUCCGGUGCGUGGGCGCUGCUGCAGAACUGCCACCUCUCGAAAACGUUCAUGCCGGAGCUGUCGGCGGCCGUCGCAAGUCUGCAGCCCGACGCUGCCGGGGCGUCCGAGAUCCACAAAGACUUCCGCCUCUGGCUCACGUCGAUGCCCACCGACUUCUUCCCUGUGUUUGUGCUGCAGUCGAGCGUGAAAUUGACGAACGAGCCGCCGACGGGGCUGCGGGCGAAUAUGCUGCGCUGCUUUGGCGAGCUGACGCCACAGGAGUACGAGAACUUUGGCGACGAGGCCAUCGGCGGUAAGGAGUUGAAGGGGCGCGCCUUCAAGAAGCUGCUGUACGGCUUAUGCUUCUUCCACUCCGUCGUUCUCGAGCGGCGCAAGUUUGGCCCGCUCGGGUGGAACGUCAAGUACGAGUGGAAUGACACGGACUUCCACGUGUCGAAGCAGUGGCUGCGACUGUUCUUUGAGGAGCAGGAGGCAAUUCCGUGGGAGUCGCUCGAGUACAUUAUUGGGCAGAUUAACUACGGCGGUCGUGUCACCGACCCGCAGGACCGUGGCACGCUGCUCACCAUUCUGCGCAACUACCUCUGCCCCCGCAUCCUCGAGGAGGGUCACCGCUUCUGCGAGGAGGGGCAGUACAUCGUCCCCGCGAGCGGCACGCUGGCCGAGGCGCAGGAGCACAUCCAAGCCAUGUCCCUCGUCGAUGAGCCUGCCAUCUUUGGCAUGCACGAGAACGCCAACCUGCGCUACCAGUUGCAGACGAGCGAGUACCUACUGACGAAGAUCGUGUCCAUCCAGCCCCGCCUAGUCGGGUCCGCUGGCGGCUCCGGCGCGACGCCGGAGGAAGAGGUGCGCCGCAAAUGCCAGGAGUUUGAGGCGACGCUACCAGCCCUGCUGACGCGGGAGGAAGCAGGACCCCGCACCUUCACGACGCUCGCGAACGGGCUGCCGAACUCCAUGUCGACGGUGUUGGCGCACGAGCUGGUGAAAUACAACAAGCUGCUUGACAAAAUACGCCAGACGCUUUCUGACAUGCAGAAGGCGCUGCAAGGGCUGACUGUCCUCUCUUCCGACCUCGACGCCAUGUACAGCUCCUUCCUUGCUGAUCAGGUUCCGCAGCUGUGGACGACGGUGUCUUACGCCUCGCUAAAGCCGCUCGGGGCGUGGUACCGCGACCUGCUCGCCCGCGUGCAGUUCAUCCGGUCGUGGUUGCAGAAGGGGGAGCCGGCGGCAUUCUGGAUCGGCGGCUUCUUCAACCCGAGCGCCUUCAUGACAGGCGUGUACCAAGCUUUCGCGCGCGCCGAGGGGGUGUCGGUGGACAAGCUCGGCUUCCGCUACGAAGUUCUGGGCGUGGAGCCGGAGGCGAUCACGUCGGGGCCGGUGCGUGGGUGCUUCGUGUAUGGCAUCCAGACGGACGCGUGGCGCUGGGACUUCGAACGACGAGUAAUGGCCGAUUCCUUGCCGGGAGAGCCCUACGCUGUGCUGCCGCCUGUUCAUUUCCUGCCGGAGCCAUCGCACGCGAAGCCAGCCGACUUUCACGCCGUCCCCCUGUACCGCACGACGAUACGCGCUGGUGUCAUCUCGUCUUUGGGCGCCAGCUCCAACUACGUCCUCUCCAUCGAGGUGCCGUCGGUGGAUGGCUCCGACUACUGGCUGCUUAAGGGCUCCGCCUGCGUGUGCGCGUUGAAUCAAUAGAAGGCGGAGGAAGAACAAUCGAAGCACACCGGAGAUGGGGAAGGCUGCGCCUGUCACGCCCCCGUCUCUUCCUCUCUCUUUCUCUCUGCGUGUAUGUGCGAGACCGCAUUUACGUUGCUUCUCUGGCUUGUGCCGUUGCUGUGUUCCUUUCUUGUCCGUCUCUCAGGGUUAGCGAGCCCUUUGGCUAUGUGUGUUCCUGUGUGCGUGGUGGGGCGGUCUGGGCACACAUGCGCACAGGAACGCACGCGCAUACACACGCCCACGACAAGAUAACGGUGACGACCACCAACAUCGUCCCUCCCCUCAGGGGCGCUGGGUGGAGCUGUUUCUAUUUCGUGUAGCGAGCUUGUUGUGCUCGUCCUUGUGAUUUGCGCACCUCUCGGAUGUAAAUGAGACAAGUCUGUGCUGCUGCGCACUUUUCCCUCCCUCUACGCCUGUCGGCUGCGUUUCCAUGCGCGCGUAUUCCUAUUUUUUUUGUGUGUAGAGGAAGAGGGGGUGGGUGGGUGGGUGGGCGCCGCCUCUGAUUUGUAGACGGAGACGUUCGCACGUGCUGUGCCACCGUCGCUGUCAGCGCUGAUGUUCCUCUGCGCUGCCGGUGCUGCGGCGUGCGUGCGUCUCUGUGUUGAUACAAGUGUGUGUGUGUGUGUGUGUGUGCUCGCCCUUUUCUGUUAGAAUAGCGUCAGUGAUGUAUGCGAGACAGCGCGCAGUGCUGCUGCACCUUUUUCUGUCCCUCUUGGCGUGGAUGUAAACUUCUUUGCCUAUCUGCGUGCUUCCUUC
rnacentral:misc_RNA from 1 species